rnacentral:rRNA from 1 species
UAGGGAAUCUUCCACAAUGGACGCAAGUCUGAUGGAGCAACGCCGCGUGAGUGAAGAAGGUUUUCGGAUCGUAAUGCUCUGUUGUUGGUGAAGAAGGAUAGAGGCAGUAACUGGUCUUUAUUUGACGGUAAUCAACCAGAAAGUCACGGCUAACUACGUGCCAGCAGCCGCGGUAAUACGUAGGUGGCAAGCGUUGUCCGGAUUUAUUGGGCGUAAAGCGAGCGCAGGCGGAAUGAUAAGUCUGAUGUGAAAGCCCACGGCUCAACCGUGGAACUGCAUCGGAAACUGUCAUUCUUGAGUGCAGAAGAGGAGAGUGGAAUUCCAUGUGUAGCGGUGGAAUGCGUAGAUAUAUGGAAGAACACCAGUGGCGAAGGCGGCUCUCUGGUCUGCAACUGACGCUGAGGCUCGAAAGCAUGGGUAGCGAACAGG